AUUCUGCGAGGACCCAUCUGUCCGUCGGGAGAGUGCUUUCCAGUCUUUGUCAUAGAGACGCAGGCAGUGACCUCCUUGCUGCUUCUGGCUUUGCUGUUAUUUUCAGAUUUUUUAUUUGGAAGCGGACCCUCGUCUUCCAGCUCAUCUCCGUCUGCUCGCCCCUCUCUGUGUUGCUUUAGUGCAGGAAGAAUGGGCAGCCUCGACUCUGAGAAUGAGGGGAAGGCUUCCUGUUCAUUCCUUGGGGCCUAAGAUGCACAGCAACCUGGGGAUGGGGCCGCACGUCGUGGCGGCCCUGCUUCUGGUCUCAAAGCGGGGUGCCCCAUGUCCCCUCUUGAGCUCCGUGCUCCCGUUCAAGGGUUCCUGGCGAGGAGAAGAACCAAGAGGAGAGAAAGCGGAGCACAUGAGACUCAGAAGGAUGCAGCAACAGGCCGACCUCACAUGCUCGGCGUCCAUCAGCCCCGGGCAUACACUCCUGGAAGACACGCUUCCUCCCGGCCGAAACAGGUGGAUUGGAGGGUGGGGCUCCAAGCCCAAGGUCGAGGAGACUGAGCCCCGAGCAGGCACCGCCCCUCUGCUCCCACGGUGCGUGGGAGGCCCAGAAAGCUGGGAACAAGCAUCCGUGGCAAAGAGCUUCUUAAGUGGGACACAUGCAUUUAAAAGUUUCUGA
rnacentral:lncRNA from 9 species